rnacentral:ncRNA from 1 species
GAGAUAGAGGCGGUAGGGGUGUAGAGACAGCCAAGAGGUUUGCUUAGAAGCAUCCACCCUUGAAAGAGUGCGUAAUAGCUCACUAAUUGAGUGCUCUUGCAUCGAAGAUGAACGGGGCAAA